rnacentral:misc_RNA from 1 species
UCUCCGUUGGUGAACCAGCGGAGGGAUCAUUACCGAGUUUACAACUCCCAAACCCCACUGUGAACGUUACCAAACUGUUGCCUCGGCGGGGUCUCUGCCCCGGGCGCGUCGCAGCCCCGGACCCAUGGCGCCCGCCGGAGGACCGAUAUCCGCAAACUCUUCUCACGUGGCAUCCCGUCCGCGGGGUCCACGGCCCAUUCUUUACAAAUCUGAGCCUUCUCGGCGCUCCCAGCGAGCGUUUCGAAAAUGAAUCAAAACUUUCAACAACGGAUCUCUUGGUUCUGGCAUCGAUGAAGAACGCAGCGAAAUGCGAUAAGUAAUGUGAAUUGCAGAAUUCAGUGAAUCAUCGAAUCUUUGAACGCACAUUGCGCCCGCCAGUAUUCUGGCGGGCAUGCCUGUCCGAGCGUCAUUUCAACCCUCGAGCCCCCCCCCCGGGGGGUCCGGCGUUGGGGAUCGGCCCUCUACCGGCCGGCCCCGAAAUGCAGUGGCGGUCUCGCCGCAGCCUCUCCUGCGCAGUAGUUUGCACAACUCGCACCGGGAGCGCGGCGCGGCCACAGCCGUAAAACACACCCAAUUCUUGAAAGGUUGACCUCGGAUCAGGUAGGAAUACCCGCUGAACUUAA